rnacentral:rRNA from 1 species
AUUGAACGCUGGCGGCAUGCUUUACACAUGCAAGUCGAACGGCAGCGCGGGCUUCGGCCUGGCGGCGAGUGGCGAACGGGUGAGUAAUACAUCGAACGGGCCCAGGAGUGGGGGGAAGGCCGGGGAAAGCCGGAAUAAUACCGCAAACGACCCGAGGGGGAAAGCGGGGGGUUCUUGGACCCCGCGGCAUUUGAGCGGCCGAUGGCAGAUUAGCUAGUUGGUGGGGUAAAGGCCUACCAAGGCGACGAUCUGUAGCUGGUCUGAGAGGACGACCAGCCACACUGGGACUGAGACACGGCCCAGACUCCUACGGGAGGCAGCAGUGGGGAAUUUUGGACAAUGGGCGAAAGCCUGAUCCAGCAAUGCCGCGUGUGUGAUGAAGGCCUUCGGGUUGUAAAGCACUUUUGGCGGGAACGAAAAGGACUGUGCCAAUACCACGGUUCGAUGACGGUACCCGCAGAAUAAGCACCGGCUAACUACGUG